rnacentral:rRNA from 1 species
UACCGCAUAACAGUAUGUAACACAUGUUAGAUGCUUGAAAGAUGCAAUUGCAUCGCUAGUAGAUGGACCUGCGUUGUAUUAGCUAGUAGGUAGGGUAAUGGCCUACCUAGGCAACGAUACAUAGCCGACCUGAGAGGGUGAUCGGCCACACUGGGACUGAGACACGGCCCAGACUCCUACGGGAGGCAGCAGUAGGGAAUCUUCGGCAAUGGGGGGAACCCUGACCGAGCAACGCCGCGUGAGUGAAGAAGGUUUUCGGAUCGUAAAGCUCUGUUGUUAAGGAAGAACGAGUGUGAGAAUGGAAAGUUCAUACUGUGACGGUACUUAACCAGAAAGGGACGGCUAACUACGUGCCAGCAGCCGCGGUAAUACGUAGGUCCCGAGCGUUGUCCGGAUUUAUUGGGCGUAAAGCGAGCGCAGGCGGUUAGAAAAGUCUGAAGUGAAAGGCAGUGGCUCAACCAUUGUAGGCUUUGGAAACUGUUUAACUUGAGUGCAGAAGGGGAGAGUGGAAUUNCAUGUGUAGCGGUGAAAUGCGUAGAUAUAUGGAGGAACACCGGUGGCGAAAGCGGCUCUCUGGUCUGUAACUGACGCUGAGGCUCGAAAGCGUGGGGAGCGAACAGGAUUAGAUACCCUGGUAGUCCACGCCGUAAACGAUGAGUGCUAGGUGUUAGNUCCUUUCCGGGACUUAGUGCCGCAGCUAACGCAUUAAGCACUCCGCCUGGGGAGUACGACCGCAAGGUUGAAACUCAAAGGAAUUGACGGGGGCCCGCACAAGCGGUGGAGCAUGUGGUUUAAUUCGAAGCAACGCGAAGAACCUUACCAGGUCUUGACAUCCCAGUGACCACCCUAGAGAUAGGGUUUCCCUUCGGGGCACUGGUGACAGGUGGUGCAUGGUUGUCGUCAGCUCGUGUCGUGAGAUGUUGGGUUAAGUCCCGCAACGAGCGCAACCCUUAUUGUUAGUUGCCAUCAUUGAGUUGGGCACUCUAGCGAGACUGCCGGUAAUAAACCGGAGGAAGGUGGGGAUGACGUCAAAUCAUCAUGCCCCUUAUGACCUGGGCUACACACGUGCUACAAUGGCUGGUACAACGAGUCGCAAGCCGGUGACGGCAAGCUAAUCUCUGAAAGCCAGUCUCAGUUCGGAUUGUAGGCUGCAACUCGCCUACAUGAAGUCGGAAUCGCUAGUAAUCGCGGAUCAGCACGCCGCGGUGAAUACGUUCCCGGGCCUUGUACACACCGCCCG